AAGAAGGCCUUCGGGUUGUAAAGCACUUUUAUUCAGGAACGAAAAUACUACCGGUUAAUAACCGGUGGGGCUGACGGUACCUGAGGAAUAAAGCACCGGCUAACUUCGUGC
rnacentral:rRNA from 1 species